UACUUCAAAGACACCUGCCUUGCCC
rnacentral:piRNA from 1 species